rnacentral:lncRNA from 1 species
GAGGUCGAAGACAAAAUUCUAUACAUGUAGUAAUAGAUUUUGAUACGCUUGAAAUUGAUUGGUGGGCCUUUUAGAAGGAGACAAAACAAGUCAAACUGGGCCAGUAUAUGGUCCGGUGGGUAUCUCUUUAGCAUCAGCAAGGGUGUGUUGUUCGAACCUCUUUGUCAUGGAAAUGCACCCUUCCUUCUCAGCUCACUGGCAGGCCUAUUUUAACUGGAUAGGCCUAACGUAAAUAAGUCAUCUACACAAAUCUGAUUUUUUUUUGGG